GAGGUCUGAAGAAUGUGUUUGAUGAGGCUA
rnacentral:piRNA from 1 species